AUGAGUUUUUGAAAUUAGAAACAGAUGAAGAGCACGAAAAACAGCACCAAUCUGAUCAGAAUUAAAACUGCUGUCACAUCAGAGUUUUUGAGCUCUUCAAACAGUGGCUCCGCAGGAAAAAAAAAUCUGCUUUCCUCAGCAGCGACGUCGACUAGCCAUACACCUCACAGCUCCUGUUUCGUAGCUUAAUCGAAGUCACCUGAAGGACGGCUUUCCUCAGCAACGGCAAGACCCGCACUCCUCUCAUAUUGUGGUACGUUAUGUAAUUUAGCCAGCUAAUACUAAUUAUGUUUGUGAUGUUUAAUUCAGAAGUUA